GCGGACGGCUCAGUAACGCGUGGCUAACCUACCCUCGGGAGGGGGAUAACCCCGGGAAACUGGGGCUAAUACCCCAUAGGCGCGGGCGCCUGGAAUGGUCCCGCGCUGAAAAGGGCGCGGCGACAUGCCCGCCGCGCACCGCCCGAGGAUGGGGCUGCGUCCUAUCAGGUAGUUGGCGGGGUAACGGCCCGCCAAGCCGAUAACGGGUAGGGGCCGUGAGAGCGGGAGCCCCGAGAUGGGCACUGAGACAAGGGCCCAGGCCCUACGGGGCGCACCAGGGGCGAAACCUCCGCAAUGCGGGAAACCGUGACGGGGUCACCCCNAGUGCCACCCGAAGAGGGUGGCUUUUGCCCGGUCUAAACAGCCGGGCGAAUAAGCGGGGGGCAAGACUGGUGUCAGC
rnacentral:rRNA from 1 species